rnacentral:rRNA from 1 species
UGAGGAAUAUUGGUCAAUGGGCGCAAGCCUGAACCAGCCAUCCCGCGUGAAGGAAGAAUGCGCUACGCGUUGUAAACUUCUUUUCCAGGGGGAGAAUUUUCCUGUCGAGACAGGGAUUGACGGUACCCUGGGAAUAAGCAUCGGCUAACUCCGUGCCAGUAGCCGCGGUAAUACGGAGGAUGCGGGCGUUAUCCGGAUUUAUUGGGUUUAAAGGGUGCGUAGGCGGAUUGAUAAGCCAGUGGUGAAAUUCUGCAGCUUAACUGUAGACUUGCCGUUGAUACUGUUAGUCUUGAGUGUGGUCAAGGCAGGCGGAAUGUGUAAUGUAGCGGUGAAAUGCUUAGAUAUUACACAGAACACCGAUUGCGAAGGCAGCUUGCUGGGUCAUUACUGACGCUGAUGCACGAAAGCGUGGGGAUCAAACAG